ACGCUCGACACCUACGGGAGGCAGCAGUGGGGAAUAUUGCACAAUGGGGGAAACCCUGAUGCAGCGACGCCGCGUGAGCGAAGAAGUAUUUCGGUAUGUAAAGCUCUAUCAGCAGGGAAGAAAAUGACGGUACCUGACUAAGAACGCCCCGGCUAACUACGUGCCACAGCCGCGGUAAUCUGAGCGGGCUGGCAAGGC
rnacentral:rRNA from 1 species